UUUUAUGAAUACUUAGUUUAUUAGUGUCAUAAAUAAUUAAUUCAAUCCAGGUAGACUCCUUUAAAAAGCAAUUUACUAAGCUGUCCAACAAUACAGCAAUGAAAUAGCAAGAAUACACUUUGCUAAGAGGCAUAAUUUUAAAAAACUUUAGUUAUUAGAUUAAAAAUAUGAUACUUUUCUUCUGAACCUGCAGAUCAAUUGCAGCAUUGCCUUCACAAAAAUUCACAACUAUUUAAUGAAAAAGGACAAACAAAAGAUAUUUUUUUAAAUAAUGAAGAUUUAAAAAACUUAACAUACUAUAAGAGAUAUUUCCCAUCUAAAGGAGGCGGCAAAUGAAUGUAUUACUUACUUCAGAAUGAUUUAAAUAUUGCUCUAUAAUUAAUGUGCUGCUGUGCUAAUAUGGCAUUAUAGAGAAGAACUAAUUCAAAGGCAAUUAGUAGUAUUAGAUGAAAGUUUUGCUUUGGGGAGUUUUAUUAUUUAGAAGCUAAUUUUUAUCAUUAAUUUAAACUCAAUAAUUUAAGCUUAGGCGGCUGUGGCUGCGGCUGCCUGCUACAUACAGACUCUUGUGGACAUGCGUAUUCUCAAGUCAGUUAGUCCUUGCAGCUCACAGACAGCAAAGACAGAACAGGUCUGUACAUUCAAGCUGUCCCAUGGGUGUGCAAAUAUUUUUAACCCUGCCACCUCCUCGCUAUUGUAGCUAAGAUAUAAGGGAAGAAUGCAGCGUCCCAGCUUUGUCUUCCAGUUCAGUCCCACGGAGAGGCGAAGGUUAAGAAUGAGGAAAAUUAGGCAGACAGCCCUGUGUGGCCCAGAGAAAGACAUGCUAUUCUGUGGGGGCCAACUCCCCUUACAUAAAUGGGAGAAAGCUCUAUGAAUGAGAUCAUUUUGACUUCCUUUGCUCACAUGUUAAUGUGGGCUUGCUUUCCUUUAGUUAAAGCAGGUCAGCUGUGCAGCAAGGUUCAGCGCCACAUUGUGAACUGUUUCCGAACCCCUGGCGCCUGCAUUGCAGCUCAGGUCUGAAGGACAUGAUUUGUGCAGGCUUUUCCCGUGCUGCAGCCAGUGUGCAAGAGUCCAGAACCCCACAGACGGCUCCCGGAGGGAUCCCUGCAGCAAAGCCCUCCACAGAGGAGCCAGGGAAUCUGGCUGGGUUUUAGACCACCUUUCAGGAGCUUAUUAAAAUCAGAUUUGUGUAUGCCCAGCUCUCAUCAAUAGCACAUUAAAUUUUCACAUGGAAGCUCCCCAGCAUUUAGGAUUGAGUGCUGGUGAUCACAUACUAGUCACAGUGAUAAGCUAUCAGACAGACACUCUCUGCUGCUGUUUGUUCAGUGGCUCUUUUUUAAUCCUUGGAUUACUUUGCCCUCAAUUUUUUUCUAUAGUUUGCUCACAUAAUUUUGUACACUCCAGAGAAGUGAAUCCAGUUUUUUCUGUUCCCACAGUAAUCAUCAAUUCAAGCUGAAGUGAAAGGGUCAAAUUUAGAGGCAAGUAAAUGGUGGUGUAAAUUUCUCAUUAGCAAAUCAAUGCAAAUCUGUGAAAUUCAGUGUCACUGAACCACAGUUAGCCCUGCGUUAAGUGAAAACAAAUUCCAUUAAUUUCUGCGGGAAUAGUACGUUUUUUACUCUGUGUUUGAUCCAUUGGGCCAAAUUACCUCUAUACCCUUGACAUCACUGUGAAUUUGAAUUAAUUAGAGAGGUCAGCGUCUCUGACACAGUGAAUGUAAAUCUGUAUAAUUCACCUGCUGAGAAGGGAAUGGAACUGAAGUAGCCAAAAAAAAAAAAAAAAAAA
rnacentral:lncRNA from 1 species